rnacentral:lncRNA from 1 species
CAUGACUCAAUCCUCUGAACCCAAGCAGCUUCUGGGCGCAGCAUGACCACAUCGACCCAAGGCUCGAAAGCUUCUAUCUCCAAGAGGUGGGAACUGAAGAAGUCACACUUUUAGAGGAAGGAGAAGGAGUGCAACAUUAUGAGUACAAACCCAAACUGAAUCUUCUGCAUCAGGAAAGAAAUGUGCUCUGCUGAUGUCAAGGAGAGCUCCUUACAAAGAGACAUUUUUUCAGAAAAACAUGAUCAGCAGUAUAUGCACCAUCAAGGUACAGAGUAAUGUCAAGAAAAAUGCCUUCUAAUUGCCUCUGCCAAAAGAAGGAAAGGGAACAAAAUAAUUGACACCUGCACAUGCUGUCUGUGGCUUUAGGGAUGAAAUUCAUGCUCCAUCUGGGUGGUGCAAC